CCUACGGGAGGCUGCAGUGGGGGAUAUUGCACAAUGGGGGAAACCCUGAUGCAGCGACGCCGCGUGAGUGAAGAAGUAUUUCGGUAUGUAAAGCUCUAUCAGCAGGGAAGAAAAUGACAGUUACUUACCAAGAAGCCCCGGCUAACUACGUGCCAGCCGCCGCGGUAAUACGUAGGGGGCAGGCGGUAUCCGGAUUUACUGGGUGUAAAGGGGGCGUAGACGGUCAUGUAAGCCUGGAGUGAAAGCCCGGGGCCCAACCCCGGGACUGCUUUGGAAACUGUGUAACUGGAGUACAGGAGGGGCAGGCGGAAUUCCUGGUGUAGCGGUGAAAUGCGUAGAUAUCAGGAGGAACACCGGCGGCGAAGGCGGCCUGCUGGACUGAAACUGACGUUGAGGCUCGAAAGCGUGGGGAGCAAACAGGAUUAGAUACCCCAGUAGUC
rnacentral:rRNA from 1 species